UGUGCUAAGGUAGCAUAAUCAUUUGUCUCCUGAUUAGAGACUAGUAUGAAUGGUUAGACGAGGGGAAUUCUUUCUUAACUAAAUAAACUAAAAUUAGCUUUAAAGUCAAAAGCCUUUAAGAACUUAGGGGGACGACAAGACCCUAUAAAACUUUACCUCCUGUAAAAUUUAAUCCUAAGAGAUCCAACUAUUUACCCGAGGUUUUGCUGGGGCGGCAAAUUUUUAAUCCUACCAUAAUUUAACUUAACUAGCUCAAGAUUUUAACGAGCCUUCUUUAAGAAAAGGAACAAGUUACUUUAGGGAUAACAGCGUUAUAUCUUUUUAGAGCUCCUAUCGCCAAAGAUGUUUGCGACCUCGAUGUUGAAUUGAAAUACCUGCUUUGGGCAA
rnacentral:rRNA from 1 species